GUGUCAGCAGCCGCGGUAAUACGUAGGUGGCAAGCGUUAUCCGGAAUUACUGGGCGUAAAGCGCACGCAGGUGGUUGGUUAAGACUGACGUGAAAGCUCCUGGCUUAACUGGGAGAGGUCGUUGGUGACUGGCUGACUUGAGGCAAGGAGAGGGAUGCAGAAUUCCCGGUGUAGUGGUGGAAUGCGUAGAUAUCGGGGGGAAUACCAGAGGCGAAAGCGGCAUCCUGGCCUUGGCCUGACACUCAGGUGCGAAAGCGUGGGGAGCGAACGGGAUUAGAUACCCCGGUAGUCCACGCUGUAAACGAUGAAUACUAGGUGUCGGUGGUGUUAAAACUGUCGGCGCCGCAGCCAACGCGAUAAGUAUUCCGCCUGGGGAGUACGACCGCAAGGUUAAA
rnacentral:rRNA from 1 species